AUGAAGAAAUGAGGCUUCUGAGGAGUUAAAUAACUAACCCGAGUGCUCAUAUCUAGCGAAUACUCCAGUUGAGAUAAUUUUGCACUUCUGCUAAUUAAAUCUUCAAUCACACCUCACUUCCAAAAGAAUCGUCAGUGGACAUCCCUUCAAUAACAGAAGCUUCUAGGCUCUACAAGGGAGUGUUAGACUACAGUUCUUUCAUAAUAAUUCUAACUUACUUCCAGAGAAAGAAGACGACUUUGGUGGUUCUUUGACCAAGACAGAAGCUGAACUUAGUGAACCUUCAGUGAAUAGACCUUCCCUGAACAUAAGUUCCUUCAAAUGGCAUCUGUGGAAUUUCCAUGAGGAACUACAAGACUCAGGAAUGCAAACAGAAACUCCCCACAGUCUGCAUGUGUCCAUGGGAAUUUUCACCAACUUUCAGUGCCUUGAUAUUUCACAUGAUCACCAAAAGUGAUGA